GAUGAAGAACGUAGCGAAAUGCGAUAAGUAAUGUGAAUUGCAGAAUUCAGUGAAUCAUCGAAUCUUUGAACGCACAUUGCGCCCGCCAGUAUUCUGGCGGGCAUGCCUGUCUGAGCGUCAUUUCAACCCUCAUGCCCCUAGGGCGUGGUGUUGGGGAUCGGCCAAAGCCCGCGAGGGACGGCCGGCCCCUAAAUCUAGUGGCGGACCCGUCGUGGCCUCCUCUGCGAAGUAGUGAUAUUCCGCAUCGGAGAGCGAUGAGCCCCUGCCGUUAAACCCCCAACUUUCCAAGGUUGACCUCAGAUCAGGUAGGAAUACCCGCUGAACUUAAGCAUCUCAAUAAGCGGAGGA
rnacentral:misc_RNA from 1 species